UUGAGAAGAGUCCAGACUGUAGUCUGAACACUCUGAGAUGGGAAUCUGAGCUGUGUGCUAAUGGAGGGUUGCCAGGGAGGUUGAAUGAGCAGCAGCAGCAGCAGCAGCAGCUUGUGUGCACAGAGGCCGUUAGAGCAAAUAAAUGCUGCAGACUAAACUGCAUGUUCAGCACUGAGUGAGCAGGUCAAUCAAAAACAUGAGCUAAUGCACAAACAUGGUCUGUGAUGCAGCCAGCGUUCAGUUCCACAUUCAUUUGUGUGCUUUGGAACAUCAGAAUUUAAAAGUUUCUCUAGUUGAGAGCUUUUUGGGCUUUUAAAAUUAUUUUACUGGCACUAUUUGAGCUUCUGUUCAGUUCCAGUGAAUGUGUGUAUAUGGAUGUUUGAAUAGAAGCAUGUGAACGUGUGAUCUAACCGUGGAUUACACUGUGAAGGCUAAUGAUUGUCUUGUCCUAUGAUUGUGGUUUUCCAGGUGUCUUUGAAGGUACAGCUCUACGACACCUUGAAAAGUUAGUGUUCAGAUACUACGACUACUGAUUGGUCAGUCAAAAGAACCUGUUUUUGUUCAGCGCUCAGUGCCACUUUUAUCCUUUUUACCCUUUAAGCUAAAAUGAGCACACAAGUAAUGCCAGUAACUAGGGUUGUGAACGAUAAACAGAUGCGACCGGAUAUUCGGUUCAACAAAUGAGAGAUACGACUGUAUCAGUAGCAGCCUCCUCAAUCGAUAGGAAUUAUGAAUUGGUUAUAGGGUCAUGGAUUGGGUAUCGCGAGAUUUUGAAUCGGCAUUACACACGUGCCACGUCUCUAAAACAACAGCUGAAGCUGCCCGCGAAACGCCGUAGCUGCCUAGCUGGUAUUAACAUAAGUGAUAAACAAGGGACGACACGGAAAAUGGAGGAGGUGGAGAAUGAAAGUGUCAGCCUGACCAAAGGUGAUAAUGCACCGAGAAAGAUUUUCAACGCAUCGGGGGAACGAAAAUCCAAGGUGUGGACCGUUUUUGGGUUUUAUAAGAAGGAAGGCAAGCUCGACAGAAGCCAUACUAUUUGUAAACUGCAGAGCGUACUUUUACCUCUGGAGUUCCCAUCCAACGAUUCAGCCAGACUUUUUUUUGGUCCGUGUCUAAAAAUAAAUACACUGACAUGUGAUUUUUUAUUAUUAUUUUUUUUUAUUAUUAUUAUUAUUAUUUGGUGUGGCAGUGCCAGUCUUUUACAUAUUUGAAAAGAAACUAUUGUACUGUCACUUUCAUAGACUGGGCUUCUUUAUUAUAUAAAAUAUCUACAACGAGUAUUAACCAUAGAAUCAAAUUGCAUUGUUCUUACACUGUACGAAAUCGAUUUGUGUCGAAUUGGUCUGUAAUAAAAGGAUAUCGUUUUUUAAUUGAAUCGUAACCUGUGUAUCUAGAUGCAUAUCGAAUUGUUUAUCACAGAGAGAUAUGCAACCCUACCAGUAACCGAGAGAAAUACUACUGUCAAGCUUUUUCAACAAGUCCAGUCAAGAAAAGUGAGUUUAAUAAAGUUUUUUUUAUUUCAAACACAACACAAGGUUAAAGUUUCCUCUGAAAUUAUACCUUUUACAACUCCCCCUCUUGCAAAAUAGUUUCUGGAUGUUGUAAAGUAAAAGAUUAUUUUUUGCUUAAUAGAUUAUUUGUGCUGUUUUGACUUUUACCAGAUCCUGAAACUUCAGUGCAGAUGCUUUCAAAAACGGGGGAUUGGUGUGAUCAUUGUAUCAAAUUGUAAACUAUUCUUAUGGAUAUUUUCUGUAAUAUACACAAAGGGUGCAGAUUGGUUUCGUAGGUAUUUGCCCACCUUUCGACACAGUAGCUCAGAAAUGACACUGCAAAAGAAUAAUACAAAAUAUGUAAAGAUUGAUUGUGAAGCCACUGUCUCCACACAACUUCCACGCAUACCUUAUGUGUCAUUUCCAGGAGAUUUUUUGGUGAAUUAAAACACCAAGAAAAGUUGUCUGUGCCACUCUACUAAUAGUUUCAUUAUUUAUUAUAAUUUGGACUUUCACGUCUUCUAAAUAACAUCAUUUUUGUUGUGUCCAUAUUGAGUGACACUUUGUUUAUGUCAAACCAUUUAAACAAACCGUUUAAUCAUGUCACAUGUGGAUUCUUCCAAAAGCUUCUAUAAAUCCUCACUAGAGCUCACUAGAAUUUUGACAUCAUACAAAUAUUGAUGAUAUAUAAGAUAAAUUGUAUUAGGGCUAGUAUUGAUCCUUAGGGUACACAACACUUGAUUUCACAGCCAGUGAAGAUAAAAUUCCUGAUUUAGACAAACUGUUGCCUAUUGUCUAAGUAGCUUCUCAGCCAGUUCAGUACAAUUCCCCUGAUGUCACAUUUUUCCAUUUUCUUGGAUAAAAUGUUAUGGUCUAUGGUAUCGAAAGCUUUUUUCAAGUCAAUAAAAAUUCCUGUAGCAAA